GAUGUAUCCUAGAAUGAGAAUGAAAUCGAGUAUGCAUCAGCUGGUGCACAUUCACUAGAUUGGAGCUAUUUGGUGCAUGUGGAAAAAUAUUAAUAGUUGGAUGUGCAAAUGCUUUUGUUUGCAAAAUGUGCCACAAAAAUGAGAAUAGGAUGAUAAUGGUCUGGAAUUGUUAUUGUCUCAAUCACAUUCACCAUCUGUCUCUGUAAAUAUGGCUACAGUUUAUGAUCUGCAAAAGGCAAACUUGCACAUCUCUUACUCGGGUGUGAUAUUGUUUAUAAUUGCAAUGUUGAGGCCUAACUAUGCGUUGAAACAUUUCUAAUACAUACGGAGGGAUUUUUUUUAUCUCUAUGCACUAUUGUGACUCUUAUGUUCUGCGACUUACAGAGAUUCAAAAUACUCACUACCACUACACCAAAAUUACCACUUCCCUACUUAGCAUAUAUGGCUUUUUGAAUAACAACAAAAUAUUACAUUGUAGGUGGGAGUCUAUCCUUAAUUGGACAUUCAGGUGGAGGAUGGCUUGCAUGUGUCUACAUGGAAGAAUUUGGGUUGUCUCAUAUUUCAUUGUUGUUGACUCUUGGAUCCCCUCACUUGUAUGAUUUUAUUACUGAACCACAUCCCAGUUGUUUGAGUUUGUCCAUGAUUGACAGGAUACAACUUUUGACCACAAAAAUUAAGAUUCCACACCCAGAAUUCAGUGACCAGUCGAUUAUAGAUUUCUAAAACUUGAACUUUGUUAUUGCCAUUGUAAAGUGCUCUGCUCAGGAGUUGAUGUUUCCCAUCCAUGGAUUAUUUUCCCCUCGAUUCUGCAGAUGUGCAACUUCUUUGCAUGCAUGGUUUUUAGUGUUGUAGACCUGCUCAAAGUGAUAGAGCAUUUCUUAUAUGAUGUUACAAGUUGAUUAAAUGUGUGAUUCCUGGAGGAGCAAUUAGGUUUUGUGCUUAAUGACUCAUUUUUCUAUUUAAAAUUCAAAUUUUGAACUACUUUCAACAUUCAAACAUAUUCAACUAUGAAAUUAUCAGUGGCAUCCCUGGGCAAUUUCAGUGGUAUUUCCUCAUAAAUACUUUGAUUGGAGAAUUGUGUUUUUCUUUCAGGCCACCUCCAAAAGGUUCAUCUGGAGUUAUUGAUCAAAGAAGGGGGCUCUUGGAUUAUGGUGUUACAUACUGUGCACAGGCUGUUUAUACACCAGAACUAAGAUACAUGUGUUGCAGGGAGGGCCUCGAAGGUGUCAUUAAGUAUCAAUGGAAUGCAUUGCAUGUUGAACAAUGAGAUGGAAUUAAAAAUUACACAUCGGAUAUUAUUGUACAGG